GUACUUGCUUCGGCAGCACAUAUACUAAAAUUGGAAUGAUACAGAGAAGAUUAGCGUGGCCCUCGUGCAAGGAUGACAUGCAAAUUCAUGAAGCAUUCCAUAUUUUU
rnacentral:snRNA from 1 species